AAAGAGUAACGGAUGUGUACGAAGUUAGGCUCAAGCUGAGAUUCUGCUCGUGAGGGUAAUGGUAGAAGCCUGCCUGACUGUAAGACCGACUGGUCGAACAGAGACGAAAGUCAGCCAUAGUGAUCUUGGAGUUCCGUGUGGAAUGGCUCUUGCUCAACAGAUCAAAGGUACGUUGGGGAUAACAUGCUGAUGACUCCCAAUAGCUCUUAUUGACGGAGUCGUUCGGAACCUCAAUGUCGACUCAUCACAUCCUGGGGUUGAAGAAGGUCUCAAGGGUUUGGUUGUUUGUCGAUGAAAGUGGUACAUGAGUUGGGUUUAGAACGUUGUCAGACUGUUCGGUUCCUAUUUACCGU
rnacentral:ncRNA from 1 species